UACGUAGGGGGCAAGCGUUGUCCGGAUUUACUGGGCGUAAAGAGCGUGUAGGCGGCCAAGCAGGUCCGUUGUGAAAACUGGAGGCUUAACCUCCAGACGUCGACGGAAACCGCGUGGCUAGAGUCCGGAAGAGGAGAGUGGAAUUCCUGGUGUAGCGGUGAAUGCGCAGAGUAUCAGGAGGAACACCAAUUGCGAAGGCAGCUCGCUGGGACGUUACUGACGCUGAGACGCGAAAGCGUGGGGAGCAAACAGG
rnacentral:rRNA from 1 species